CCUGUCCCUAGAAGAAUUGCAGGUGUGGCUACUGUGGUACAUGUGCGUUAGUAGGUGGAAGAGGAGAGGGGACUAUGUCUAGCCCCAGUGUUCUGACCUAUGAACAUCUGAAUUAAUAGCUUAUCAUU